AAGUAGAGAAGUAAAUGAUACAUUUAGUUUCGACCUAAUUUAUUAAGAACAAGAUUCUUCCUACUUA
rnacentral:tRNA from 1 species